rnacentral:RNase_P_RNA from 2 species
AGAAACGGGAAAUUGCGGUACUGCAUUGACUGCGGUAUUGAGGAAAGUCCAGACUGCCACGACCUGUGAUGGUCGUAAUGUUCGUGCCCAUCGCAAGGUGGGGCAGAGUGAAUGCUCUGACGACGGCAAAAUCGACUCAUGUAGCCGAAAGUAGCCAUAAAGUGCACAGAGAAUGAGUAGGUUGGCAACAACCUAGUGAAAAUUGGUAAACUCCACGAGGCAGAAACCCAAAUUUGGUAGGGGAGCUUCCUGUAAGGAAUACGAACCGAAGGGAAGAACGCGCUUUUGUGCGUUAGAUAGAUGAUUUCCUAAAACAGAAACUGGCUUACGGUU